GGUGUGAUAAACAGAAGAAAUUCGUCACUCUCUUAUGCUUCUUCUUCAUCUUCAUCUUCGAAAAUAAACCACUGCGCCUUCUCAUUCAAUUAGCUUCUUGCUAAUUUCGACGCUAAAAAAUAGGAUUUGUAGAUGGUUUCAAGAGUGAAGUCAGGGUUUAAUUUUGGUCUGAUUUAUGGGCCUAGAUCUGUUAGGGUUUGUUGAUGAUGCAAACAAUGAAAUUGGGUUUGAAGGAAAUCAUGAGAUCGGAUAGCGGCCAACUCAGAGACGGGGGUUAGGGUUUUAUUUUGAUUUGAUUCUGCUGUCAGACAAUAAGAAGAAGCAAUAGGUGAAGAUGCAGUUCUUGAUGGAACUCAGGUGAAGAUGCAUAUGCAGUUCUUGAAGGUGCCCAUGAAAGAAAUAGCAAAUGUUGGUGGUGGUAUGCAGAAGGGUAAGGAGAUGCGGGUGCAGUAGAGAGCUGAAAUUGAGUUUGUUGGUGUUGUGUGUUGGCUCAAGAAUGGAUUUAGAUGUAUCUUAAGACAGGUAAUUGCAGAUGCAGGUAGUUGAGGUGCAGUUCAAAUGGUAUUGAAACUAUCAGAGAUGCUACAACUGUUGGCUUGAGGAAAUGGUGGUGUUAUAGGCUGAUGGAAGUGGUGUUGUUGUGUUACUACAGACCAUGGAAUUGCAGCUGCAGCUGUAAUGUUAGAGUUAGGGAAUGAGAUGCAGAUGGUCCUGGUAGUGUUGUGGUGCAGUCAAGACUCAAAGGAGGUUGUUGCAGAGAGCUGAACUGGUUAGGAGAUUAUGUAUGUUGCUGAUGUGGGUGUUGGUAAAUGGUUUAGUGAACCAGGGUUGGUGUUGUUGCAGUAGCAGGAAUUGUACAAGGAAGAUGAAGGUGAUACUGUUGAUGCUUCCAAUGGAUAAAUGAAUGAUUGAGUUGCGAAUUAAAUGUAUGCUAGGUUGUGCAGGUGAGAAGAAAUACAGGACUGAAAUGGAUGGAAUAACACCAGAAACAGACAAGACUCGGCCCAAUUUUUUCUUCAGUGAGUCGACUCAGUGACUCGUUGUACCCCAACUGGUGACUCAGGCGAAUAAGCCUUAAUCAGACCAACUCUAUUGAGGACUUUUAAGACUUUUAUUAGGUACAAGCUGGAACUUAACGGCCCUAACAAGCCGUUAGCCAUUUUUUUUGAAUAAAACGCACUUUUGAAAAGUUCGAAAAAA